CUGGUGCCACAUAUACCACUGAAUGAGUCGAGAAAAUUGUAUCGUAGUACGAGACAUAGUUCAGGAGAUAGGCGUCAUAAAAACUGAGCUGCGUGAAAAUGAAAGUAUAGGACAGGAUCGAGUUGUGGUAGAGGUGAAAUAUGGGUACAAAUACAUGUGUUAUAUUUUAAAUGUAUGUGGAAUAUAAGUGGCAUGUGCGUAUGGGGCCGCUCCUUCUAAACCCGUGAAUAGAUUUCAGUCAACCCUGCUACACAUAUUUGUUAAUAUUUGGAAAGAAACACUGUUGGCGUAAGAACCUCGAGCCUGGUACUGUGGCUAGUCUGACAACAUGGAGAGAGAAGGUGAAGUAGUAGAUGGACAGACAGAUAAGGUGAGAAGGAGGAGAUGGACAGACAGAUAAGGUGAGAAGGAGUAGAUGGACAGACAGAUAAGGUGAGAAGGAGGAGAUGGACAGACAGAUAAGGUGAGAAGGAGGAGAUGGACAGACAGAUAAGGUGAGAAGGAGUAGAUGGACAGACAGAUAAGGUGAGAAGGAGUAGAUAGACAGACAGAUAAGGUGAGAAGGAGGAGAUGGACAGAUAGAUAAGGUGAGGAGGAGGAGACGGACAGACAGAUAAGGUGAGAAGAAGGAGAUGGACAGACAGAUAAGGUGAGAAGGAGGAGAUGGACAGACAGAUAAGGUGAGGAGGAGGAGACGGACAGACAGAUAAGGUGAGAAGGAGGAGAUGGACAGACAGAUAAGGUGAGAAGGAGGAGAUGGACAGACAGAUAAGGUGAGAAGGAGGAGAUGGACAGACAGAUAAGGUGAGAAGGAGGAGAUGGACAGACAGAUAAGGUGAGAAGGAGGAGAUGGACAGACAGAUAAGGUGAGAAGGAGUAGAUGGACAGACAGAUAAGGUGAGAAGGAGGAGAUGGACAGACAGAUAAGGUGAGAAGGAGGAGAUGGACAGACAGAUAAGGUGAGAAGGAGGAGAUGGACAGACAGAUAAGGUGAGAAGGAGGAGAUGGACAGACAGAUAAGGUGAGAAGGAGGAGACGGACAGACAGAUAAGGUGAGAAGGAGGAGAUGGACAGACAGAUAAGGUGAGAAGGAGGAGAUGGACAGACAGAUAAGGUGAGAAGGAGGAGACGGACAGACAGAUAAGGUGAGAAGGAGGAGACGGACAGACAGAUAAGGUGAGAAGGAGGAGAUGGACAGACAGAUAAGGUGAGAAGGAGGAGAUGGACAGACAGAUAAGGUGAGAAGGAGGAGAUGGACAGACAGAUAAGGUGAGAAGGAGUAGAUGGACAGACAGAUAAGGUGAGAAGGAGGAGAUGGACAGACAGACAAGGUGAGAAGGAGUAGAUGGAUAGACAGAUAAGGUGAGAAGGAGGAGAUGGACCAAUCCGAGAAUGGAAUACUUACCUACCCGGUUAACGCCGGGUACUCUGCUAGUUUAAAAUAAAAAAAGGCUGUUUUAUUGCGGUGGUGCGCACGCCAUUACAAUCUUAAAAGACAUAGAAAUAAUUUAUACGGCCUUAUAUUGUUCACCAAACAGUUGACAUGAAUUGAGUCAGCAUUCACCCUCCAAAUGAAAUGCCAACUCGUGGCAAGUUACUAAUAACGUUCGGUUAAAUGCGUGCUACUUCAUAUGGCAAAACCGUUAACGCUGUUUUGGCAGUUUGAACUAAGUUUAAGUCCACAGGAAACUGAUUUCCUCCAUACCUCGUCUAUAUUACUAAAAGGCUAACCUAGGGCAAGAUCAGUUGCAGGGUGGAUCCAGGAGCAACCAAUAUUUGACUUUCAGGAUUAUUCAUCCACAAUUUUUGUAUGACAACACGUAACGAUUUGCAGCAAACUUUACACAUAAUUUUAAACAAUCACGGAAAUUUUUCUCCCUGACAUCCUCGUCAUAUGAUGAAAAGAGAAGAAAAUACGAGUAGUUCAUCACUUACUACAUUAUCCGCUGUUCACGCAGCAAAAAGGCAUUGUUCAGAACAAUCUUCGGACUUAUGACUGCAUUACUGUCACUUUAUAGAACAUGUAAAAACAAGCGAAAUAAAUGAGGAUUGAGGUAAUCUUUUGGAACAGUACCUAAUAUGUAUAAAUAAGUAUAAUUAAUCGCUUCAGACGUCCUAGGGUGGGAGAAUGUGGUGACACAAAUUUGCUUUUCGCGGAGCAGACGCACAGUCCCAGUCACAAGCUCACACUGCUCCACUUGAUCGCUCACAACCUUUUAUCCUUCCUUAACCGUGGUCCGUAUUAUUUUUCUCCGAGGUAUGAAAGCU